rnacentral:rRNA from 1 species
CGGAGGGUGCAAGCGUUAUCCGGAUUCACUGGGUUUAAAGGGUGCGUAGGUGGGUUGGUAAGUCAGUGGUGAAAUCCCCGAGCUUAACUUGGGAACUGCCAUUGAUACUAUCAGUCUUGAAUACCGUGGAGGUCAGCGGAAUAUGUCAUGUAGCGGUGAAAUGCUUAGAUAUGACAUAGAACACCAAUUGCGAAGGCAGCUGACUACACGAAUAUUGACACUGAGGCACGAAAGCGUGGGGAUCAAACAGGAUUAGAUACCCUGGUAGUCCACGCCCUAAACUAUGGAUACUCGACAUACGCGAUACACAGUGUGUGUCUGAGCGAAAGCAUUAAGUAUCCCACCUGGGAAGUACGAUCGCAAGAUUG